rnacentral:rRNA from 1 species
GACGAACGCUGGCGGCGUGCCUAAUACAUGCAAGUAGAACGCACAGUUUAUACCGUAGCUUGCUACACCAUAGACUGUGAGUUGCGAACGGGUGAGUAACGCGUAGGUAACCUGCCUGGUAGCGGGGGAUAACUAUUGGAAACGAUAGCUAAUACCGCAUAAUAUUAAUUAUUGCAUGAUAAUUAAUUGAAAGGUGCAAUUGCACCACUACCAGAUGGACCUGCGUUGUAUUAGCUAGUAGGUGAGGUAACGGCUCACCUAGGCGACGAUACAUAGCCGACCUGAGAGGGUGAUCGGCCACACUGGGACUGAGACACGGCCCAGACUCCUACGGGAGGCAGCAGUAGGGAAUCUCCGGCAAUGGACGAAAGUCUGACCGAGCAACGCCGCGUGAGUGAAGAAGGUUUUCGGAUCGUAAAGCUCUGUUGUAAGAGAAGAACGGGUGUGAGAGUGGAAAGUUCACACUGUGACGGUAUCUUACCAGAAAGGGACGGCUAACUACGUG